rnacentral:misc_RNA from 1 species
AAGUCGUAACAAGGUCUCCGUUGGUGAACCAGCGGAGGGAUCAUUAUAGAGUUUUCUAAACUCCCAACCCAUGUGAACUUACCUUUUGUUGCCUCGGCAGGAGUUAUAGGUCUUCUUAUAGCUGCUGCCGGUGGACCAUUAAACUCUUGUUAUUUUAUGUAAUCUGAGCGUCUUAUUUUAAUAAGUCAAAACUUUCAACAACGGAUCUCUUGGUUCUG